rnacentral:lncRNA from 1 species
CUUUAUGAGUGUCACCACUCACCAAAGGUCAAUGCUGAGAGAGGAAGAGGGAGGGGCUGCUCCAAACUCAUUUGGGUAGAAACUAUUGGUGCUUGACUCUCACUAGGCUAUACCCCAGAGUUGACCAAAUUGAGUGAUAGGGACCCUGGUGGGAGGAGGGAGGGCACCUCUCCAGGGAAAUAAAAAGCAAUACAACUUUACCACAAAGCCUUUAAAACCAGUAACACAGUGCUCAAGGACCAAGAUCAAGCGUAGCAGCCGCAGCCGCAGCCGCAGCCGCAGCCGCAGCAGCACCAAAGCUGCCGCCUGUCCCCACACAGCCUCUAAGCGUGCUGACAUCAGAUUGUUAAGGGCAUUUUCAUACUUAGAACCGUCCCAUCCCCAGGUCCCAAACAAAUGAACACUGCCUUAGCCUCUUGGAAAUCAGGUAGCACAUAUUCUAAGCUAGAUUCACCCUUCUCCCCCACCCACCCACGUCCCACCCCAGGCAAAGCUGACUUCUUUGAACCAGAAAAGCUAAUCAAGUGUGUGUGUUGUGCAUUUUGCAAACCCACUAAGCCAGAACCCCAAAGUGACAAGUAGCUUAUGAGAAUUCGUAGUAAAAUUCUCUUAACUUUAAGUUCGGUAAAUUUUCUUUCUCUCUUCUCCUCUUUUUUUAUUUGUUGCUGUGACCUCUUCAAGCUGUGUUAUACCCUCCUUUCUCCCCACAGUGAUAUUGGUAUAUGUAUCAACAAUACAUAUAUCUACACAUAUGGAAAGAAGCAGUUCUCACAACAUUGCUAGUUUUUUGCUUCUUUUUUUUUCCUCACCCUGCCUGCCCUUCUCCACCUCCUCCUUGAACUUCCAACGCUUUUUCUCAUGUUUGCUGCAGAGUGAUUUGGGGGCUGACCUAGACCAGUUUGCAUGAUCUCUCUCGUGAUUUGGUUGCACUUUAGAACAUUUUUGUGCCGUUAUAUUUGCAUUAUGUAUUUAUAAUUUAAAUGAUAUUUAGGUUUUUGGCUGAGUACUGGAAUAAACAGUGAGCAUAUCUGGUAUAUGUCAUUAUUUAUUGUUAAAUUACAUUUUUAAGCUCCAUGUGCAUAUAAAAGUUAUGAAACAUAUCAUGGUAAUGACAGAUGCAAGUUAUUUUAUUUGCUUAUUUUUAUAAUUAAAGAUGCCAUAGCAU